GUCACACUAGCUCAGUUGGUAGAGCAUGAGACUCUUAAUCUCAAGGUCGUGGGUUUGAGCCCCACUUUGAAUGGGGAGGACA